rnacentral:rRNA from 1 species
UGGGGAAUAUAGGACAAUGGGCGCAAGCCUGAUCCAGCCAUGCCGCGUGAGUGAUGAAGGCCCUAGGGUUGUAAGGCUCUUUCAGCGGGGAAGAUAAUGACGGUACCCGCAGAAGAAGCCCCGGCUAACUUCGUGCCAGCAGCCGCGGUAAUACGAAGGGGGCUAGCGUUGCUCGGAAUCACUGGGCGUAAAGCGCACGUAGGCGGAUCUUUAAGUCAGGGGUGAAAUCCUGGAGCUCAACUCCAGAACUGCCUUUGAUACUGGGGAUCUCGAGUCCGGAAGAGGUGAGUGGAACUCCGAGUGUAGAGGUGAAAUUCGUAGAUAUUCGGAAGAACACCAGUGGCGAAGGCGACUGACUGGACAAGUAUUGACGCUGAGGUACGAAAGCGUGGGGAGCAAAC